rnacentral:rRNA from 1 species
GAGUUUGAUCCUGGCUCAGAUUGAACGCUGGCGGCAGGCCUAACACAUGCAAGUCGAGCGGUAGAGAGAAGCUUGCUUCUCUUGAGAGCGGCGGACGGGUGAGUAAUGCCUAGGAAUCUGCCUGGUAGUGGGGGAUAACGCUCGGAAACGGACGCUAAUACCGCAUACGUCCUACGGGAGAAAGCAGGGGACCUUCGGGCCUUGCGCUAUCAGAUGAGCCUAGGUCGGAUUAGCUAGUUGGUGAGGUAAUGGCUCACCAAGGCGACGAUCCGUAACUGGUCUGAGAGGAUGAUCAGUCACACUGGAACUGAGACACGGUCCAGACUCCUACGGAGGCAGCAGUGGGGAAUAUUGGACAAUGGGCGAAAGCCUGAUCCAGCCAUGCCGCGUGUGUGAAGAAGGUCUUCGGAUUGUAAAGCACUUUAAGUUGGGAGGAAGGGCAGUAAAUUAAUACUUUGCUGUUUUGACGUUACGACAGAAUAAGCACCGGCUAACUCUGUGCCAGCCG